AUUGAACGCUGGCGGCAGGCUUACCACCUGCAAGUCGAGCGAGAGGCGGACGGGUGAGUAAUGUCUGGGAAACUGCCUGAUGGAGGGGGAUAACUACUGGACACGGUAGCUAAUACCGCAUACCAUCAGAUGUGCCCAGAUGGGAUUAGCUAGUAGGUGGGGUAAUGGCUCACCUAUGCGACGAUCCCUAGCUGGUCUGAGAGGGUGACCAGCCACACGGGAACGGAUACACGGUCCAGACUCCUACGGUAGGCAGCAGUGGGGAAUAGUGCAAAAUGGGCGCAAUCCUGAUGCAGCCAUGCCGCGUGUGUGAAGAAGGCCUUCGGGUUGUAAAGCACUUUCAGCGAGGAGGCGUUACUCGCAGAAGAAGCACCGGCUAACUCCGUGCCAGCAGCCGCGGUAAUUC
rnacentral:rRNA from 1 species